rnacentral:rRNA from 1 species
UACAGGAGGUCCCAAGCGUUGUUCGGAUUCAUUGGGCGUAAAGGGUGUGUAGGUGGCGCCGUAAGUCGGGUGUGAAAUCUCGGGGCUUAACUCCGAAACUGCAUUCGAUACUGCGGUGCUUGAGGACUGGAGAGGAGACUGGAAUUCAUGGUGUAGCAGUGAAAUGCGUAGAGAUCAUGAGGAAGACCAGUGGCGAAGGCGGGUCUCUGGACAGUUCCUGACGCUGAGGCACGAAGGUCAGGGGAGCAAACGGG